UAUGUAUGUAUGUAUGUAUGUAUGUAUGUAUGUAUUUGGCCCCGUUCCUGAAAAAAAGCUUUUAAAUCCUUGUGAUUUACUGAGUGAUAGAGGUGACAGGAAUGUCUUUUGUUAUUUAUAACAAGCCCCUUUAGAACAUAACGGAGUUUAUGUGAAUGAGGUGGCACUUGGUGAGCCCACAGCUAGUGUCAGGAUGGGGGCUGGUUGUCAGGGGAACCAACCAUGCGAUUAGGGGGUAGGAGCUUUCAGACCCACCCCUGGACCUCUGGGGAGGGGAGAGAGGCUAGAGUUCAAGUUUAGUCACCAAUGGCUGAUGAUUUAAUGAAUCACGUCUAAGGAAUGGAACCUCCAUAAAAAUCCCUAAAUGACAGGAAUUGGAGAGCUUCUGAGUGAGUGAACACACCCACGUGUCUGGAGGGUGGCACACCCCAACCCCUCACAGAGCUUCCCACUACACAGCUCGGUGCUCAGCACUCUUCCAGACAUCGCCCUAUUUAUCUCUUCAUCAGGCUUUUCACUUCUUAUCCUUUAUAAUAAACCAGUGAUUCCAAUUAACUCAGAAAGUGUCAACUUCUGUAUCUACAUCAAUGACACCCAAAUAUGUAUCUCUAGCCUGACAUAGCUCAAGCGGCUCCAGUGCAGGAGACAGAGGGAGCCUGGAAUCCAAAGAAGAGAGCUCCAACCAGCAUAGAGUUGUCAACAGUGCAAGCUGCUGAAAAGAGGACAAGGAAGAUAUUAUCCCUCCACGCCAACCAGCAUGCACUUCUCAACCAGCCUUACUGCCUAUAAACUACCGCUGUUUUGACUGUCAGCUAAAUGAUGAAAGCCUGAGAGAGGGCAUUUUAUUAGUGGCAUAGUCAGAUGCAGCUGUGCUCUAAGACCAUCCUCUGAAAAUGCCUGGGAGAAACUAUUUCCUUCUCAUUGACAAUUACUAAAAAUGGUCAUUCGUUGGCCAGGUCCACUAAACAGUGCAUACGUUGAUCAGAGUUAUUUUGUUUGAAAUUAGUGUGCUGUACAGAAAGCUUUGUCUUGCAUGAACCUGUGUUUUGAUAAAACAGAGACCUUGGGCAUUAGCAGAUAGGAGGAUGGGUGACAGUUUACCACUAACUUUAAACAGGUUCAAAGGUAAAUACCAUAUUUUGUUAAUUUUCAUAUUCAUUAAAGAUCUAAAUAUUGAGAAGUUUGCUUGAGGAUUAAGUAUCUUCCAACCAGGGGCACCAAGGUGAGGACACUUUAAACUAGAUAUACCUGGGCUACAGCACUGAAAAGUAGGGCCUAUGAGGGUGGGGGAUUUUGUGUCUUGUUUGUUGCUGUAUUCCCAGAGCCUGGAACACUGCUGAGUAUAUAACAGGCACUAAAUAAAUACUUCUAAAUGAAUGAA
rnacentral:lncRNA from 1 species